GCCCUUUAUAAUAAAACGUGCGACAAACCCUCUACAUUUCAGAUCACGUUUUCCCUCUUAUUUGCUCCAAACCCUCUCAUUUGCCCCAAACCACGGUAAGACUCUCUCUCGUUCUUUAUCAUCGAUUUCACUCACAACUCUCUCUCUCUCACGGCGACGCAGCUCUGCCACCACCGGCGACGCACCACUGCCGCCACUCCACUGCCGAGAGCCACUCCGCCGAGCGCCACCAUCGUGUAUCGGGUCCGUUGCGUUGAUUCAACAUUACACAAGUAGCUAGCUUUAUUGGAGAAAGGGUAAGAGCAAUCUGUACUCAAAUAACGAGAUGAAUAUUCCGCGUGAUCAGUGGAUUGAAUAGGCCCGAGCACACGCAGGGCGACAAGGGCUAUUAUGAUGAUUAGUUUUUAUUUUUGUUUAUACUUUACACUAUAACCAGUUACUUUCAUAUAACUAAAGAUUAAUUAAUGUUUAUACUUUAUG